CAGCAGCCGCGGUAAUACAGAGGGUGCGAGCGUUAAUCGGAUUUACUGGGCGUAAAGCGUGCGUAGGCGGCUUCUUAAGUCGGAUGUGAAAUCCCUGAGCUUAACUUAGGAAUUGCAUUCGAUACUGGGAAGCUAGAGUAUGGGAGAGGAUGGUAGAAUUCCAGGUGUAGCGGUGAAAUGCGUAGAGAUCUGGAGGAAUACCGAUGGCGAAGGCAGCCAUCUGGCCUAACACUGACGCUGAGGUACGAAAGCAUGGGGAGCAAACAGGAUUAGAUACCCCUGUAGUCCCUGUCUCUUAUAC
rnacentral:rRNA from 1 species